AUUGAACGCUGGUGGCAUGCUUUACACAUGCAAGUCGAACGGCAGCGGGGUAGUGCUUGCACUACUGCCGGCGAGUGGCGAACGGGUGAGUAAUAUAUCGGAACGUACCGAGUAAUGGGGGAUAACCAAUCGAAAGAUUGGCUAAUACCGCAUACGUCCUGAGGGAGAAAGCGGGGGAUCGCAAGACCUCGCGUUAUUCGAGCGGCCGAUAACUGAUUGGCUAGUUGGUGGGGUAAAGGCCUACCAAGGCGACGAUCAGUAGCGGGUCUGAGAGGACGAUCCGCCACACUGGGACUGAGACACGGCCCAGACUCCUACGGGAGGCAGCAGUGGGGAAUUUUGGACAAUGGGGGCAACCCUGAUCCAGCCAUGCCGCGUGUAUGAAGAAGGCCUUCGGGUUGUAAAGUACUUUUGUUAGGGAAGAAAAGGGAAGUGCUAAUACCACUUUUUGCUGACGGUACCUAAAGAAUAAGCACCGGCUAACUACGUG
rnacentral:rRNA from 1 species